rnacentral:rRNA from 1 species
UACGUAGGGUGCAAGCGUUAAUCGGAAUUACUGGGCGUAAAGCGUGCGCAGGCGGUUGUGCAAGACAGAUGUGAAAUCCCCGGGCUUAACCUGGGAAUUGCAUUUGUGACUGUACGGCUAGAGUGUGUCAGAGGGGGGGUAGAAUUCCACGUGUAGCAGUGAAAUGCGUAGAGAUGUGGAGGAAUACCGAUGGCGAAGGCAGCCCCCUGGGAUAACACUGACGCUCAUGCACGAAAGCGUGGGGAGCAAAC